rnacentral:rRNA from 1 species
AUACGGAGGGUGCAAGCGUUACUCGGAAUCACUGGGCGUAAAGGAUGCGUAGGCUGGAUGUCAAGUUGGAAGUGAAAUCCUAUGGCUUAACCAUAGAACUGCUUCCAAAACUGGCAACCUAGAGUGAGGGAGAGGCAGAUGGAAUUAGUGGUGUAGGGGUAAAAUCCGUAGAUAUCACUAGGAAUACCGAUUGCGAAGGCGAUCUGCUAGAACUCUACUGACGCUAAGGCAUGAAAGCGUGGGGAGCAAACAGGAUUAGAAACCCCGGUAGUCC